rnacentral:rRNA from 1 species
UCUUCGGAUGUUUGAGACCGGCGCACGGGUGCGUAACGCGUAUGCAACCUACCUCUUACUGGGGAAUAGCCCGAAGAAAUUCGGAUUAAUGCCCCAUAUGCUCGUACGGCCUCAUGGUCGAGCGAGGAAAGCUCCGGCGGUAAGAGAUGGGCAUGCGUCCUAUCAGCUAGUUGGUGAGGUAAUGGCUCACCAAGGCAAUGACAGGUAGCGGGUUUGAGAGGAUGAUCCGCCACACUGGUACUGAGACACGGACCAGACUCC